GAUGAACGCUGGCGGCGUGCCUAAUACAUGCCAGUCGAGCGAACAGACGAGGAGCUUGCUCCUCUGACGUUAGCGGCGGACGGGUGAGUAACACGUGGAUAACCUACCUAUAAGACUGGGAUAACUUCGGGAAACCGGAGCUACUACCGGAUAAUAUAUUGAACCGCAUGGUUCAAUAGUUAAAGACGGUUUUGCUGUCACUUAUAGAUGUAUCCGCGCCGCAUUAGCUAGUUGGUAAGGUAACGGCUUACCAAGGCAACGAUGCGUAGCCGACCUGAGAGGGUGAACGGCCACACUGGAACUGAGACACGGUCCAGACUCCUACGGGAGGCAGCAGUAGGGAAUCUUCCGAAAUGGGCGAAAGCCUGACGGAGCAACGCCGCGUGAGUGAUGAAGGUCUUCGGAUCGUAAAACUCUGUUAUUAGGGAAGAACAAAUGUGUAAGUAACUAUGCACGUCUUGACGGUACCUAAUCAGAAAGCCACGGCUAACUACGUG
rnacentral:rRNA from 1 species